AUGCUCGCUUCAGCAGCACCUAUACUAAAACUGGCAUGAUAUAGAGACAAUUAGCAUGGCCCCUGCAUAACAGUGACACACAAACUCAUGAAGCAGUCCAUGUUUUC
ensembl:snRNA U6 U6 spliceosomal RNA